UGAGGAAUAUUGCGCAAUGGGGGAAACCCUGACGCAGCGAUGCCGCGUGGGUGAAGAAGGCCUUCGGGUCGUAAAGCCCUGUCAAGUGGGAAGAACAGCUUGGGGACGAAUAAUCCUCAGGUCUGACGGUACCACUGAAGGAAGCACCGGCUAACUCCGUGCCAGCAGCCGCGGUAAGACGGAGGGUGCAAGCGUUAUUCGGAUUUAUUGGGCGUAAAGAGCGUGUAGGCGGCCGGUCAAGCCAGAUGUGAAAGCCCAGGGCUUAACCCUGGAAGUGCAUUUGGAACUGGUUGGCUUGAGUUCGGGAGAGGGAAGUGGAAUUCCGGGUGUAGAGGUGAAAUUCGUAGAUAUCCGGAGGAACACCGGUGGCGAAGGCGACUUCCUGGACCGAAACUGACGCUGAGACGCGAAAGCGUGGGGAGCAAACAGG
rnacentral:rRNA from 2 species